rnacentral:sRNA from 1 species
AAGCAGGCAUGUUCUCCAGGCUGCUCAGUCUAUUUUGGACGGAGAAUCAUAUACAUGAAGAGAACAGACCAAGACAGAAUGAGGCCAGCUUCUAUUAUGUUGGGGAAGAAGACGAAAGAAAUCGUUCUGGGUAUAGCCCAGUCUGAAAUAUUCCAGCAGAAUCUUGAACAGUGCACAGACAAGGACUACAGCUCGCAGAGACAGAACUGUCCACCAGGAUCACUGAGUGUGCAAAAAUGUCAACGACUCCCCAAUCUCAGUCCUAAUGGCAAUCUUGGGCUGCAUUUUGUUCUUUCCUUUGCCUUCCUAUGUGUGAGGCAUCCUUCAUGUCGUCUAGCAUCUGACCCAGGAAAAGUCUCUUUGGAGGGCUUCAGCGGAGUGCUGAGGGACAUCAAGAACUGCUGGGCAUCCAGGAGGAGUCUUAAGAGUGACAAUUUUUGCUAGUCCUGAUGGGUCAUCAAGUAUAAUUUCAUGGAGUUCAAUCAUGCCAAUUUGAAAGACUUUGAGAUAUCGCCUGGAACAUGUCUCAGGCUUAACCUUGGGAGGACUUGUCCAUCUACAAUAAACCACCCCCAAUGAGG